UUCCCGACACAACCCGCAGUCCCUGGUCGUCUCCCUCGCAUCCUCACUCGUCUCCCCUGCGCGCCGGAGCCCUCCCUCUCGGCUCCCGCUGCGCUGGAGCUCCCCUGCUCGGCUCCCCUGCGCGUCGCCGGAGCUGCCUCGGCCCACAUCUCCACCGCGUUGCUUCCCUCUCCUUGUUCCCUUGCUCGUUCCCCAUGGUGAACCAUGGGAAGGAGAAGGCUCGAUUUUUGUUCUCGAUCUGCUCUCCGACGGCGGCGGCCUUCCCCGAGCUUGGCGAGCUGGAGCUGUCCCUUCCCGUCGUCGAUCUGCUCUCCGCGACGCCGCCUGCCUCCCCGGACCAUCCCCUCUCGCUCAGCCGCGUCUCCCUCCCUGGAGCAGCCGCUCCCGCCCAACCCAAAGCCGCCGGCCGGAGCUACGCCGCAGCACGCUCCCUCCCUCCUCUUCUUGGGGACCGGAUUGUGGCCGAGGAGGAUCUUGCCCUUGUCGCCCAGCAGCUCCCGCUCCAACGGGCUCGUCCACAAAUCCGGCAGCACCAGCCGCUCUUCCCUCUUCCGGUCUAGCCCAUCGACGACGAUGGCUCCUCCUCAUGCUCAUCGGACUCGUGCACAAGUGCUCUACAAGUCUGCAUUGGGAAGCAGAUACAGUUUUUCUAGGUGGGCGUGGUUUUGGAACAGCCAUGUCUUCUCUAAUUUUGACAGUGCUUGAGUUUAGAGUAUGGUUAUACUUUUGCUUAGGGUAAGUUAACAUGUCUCUUUCUGCAAUUUUUAAAUGCUUCUUGUCAGGAAGGGAAUUAUGUUUGUAAGGAUAGUGUAUUUUGCAAAGGCUUUUGUACUUGUUGUUUUUAUGUCUAACUACCAACUGUUUAUUCUUAAAUAAAAACAGCAGGGUAAUUACUUUUCUUACUGGUGCUCUUGAUUAUGAAGAUGGUCAACUAGACACUAAGAGAUAUGGUGAGCAAUAUGCUAGCAAAGGGGAAGAUGUUGACCUCAUGUUGCUCCCUGAGCAGAUACCUUCCUAUAGAGAUCCGGUAAGCUUGUGCUUCUUUUGCAGUAAAAAAAAAUUCUAUCCAUUAGUGAAAUUUUGAAACAGGCCACUGUGGUGCUGUUGUUGUUCAAGCAGGAGUAUGUGUACACAUAUUUGCAGGCGAAUGCUAUCCUGAGAUUGACUUACAGUUAAUUGCUAUCCUUAGAUUGACUGAACUUCAGUACAUUACUUCUGUUCUGACUUGAAGAUGUCCUCGAAUGCCAAAUUGCUCUACAGACUUUGAACCCCUUUCAUUUUCUUCCAUGUAAAGUUUUUUUUAAAUGGCAGUGGAUGUUGAGUAAUCUAUGCUAGCAAUGUGAUGUUAGAGAAAGGCGUAUUUCUAGACCUGCUUGUAAAUUACUCCACACAAACAAGUGCAUUUUCUAGACCUGCUUGUAAAUUACUCCACUCAAACAAGCAAAUUCAGUAGACAUUUUUACAAGAAUUCAGUAGAUUUCUUCCCAUGGUUGCUAUUUGUUUCUCUUGACUUGGCCCCUGGUACUCCAAGAAGACUAUGCAGUUAUCCUAGACUAUUGCAAUCAUCCUUUUAGGUAGCAAUAGCCUUUUUUGAUUUAAAAGCCUGGCUACCAUGGUCCUUGGGUAUAUUUCAUUCUGUGUGCUAACUAGAGAAGACAUGGCAUGCAUGCAUGCACAUAGGCUGUACUUGUUGAACAGGGGAUUUUUUACUUGGAAAUAUUGGUUUGCUCUAAUCCACCCAAACUCAGUCUUCAUUUUACUAAAUUUAGAUUAGAUGUUGCCUUGUUUCUACCGGGAGAAGAUGUUGGUUUAUUCUUUAUUUUGAUUGUUGUGGUUGCUCGACAAGUUGCCUCUCAGAUUAUUGCUCUCAGUGCAAACUGGAGUAGAUUAAUUAAUUUGGAGUGUGUGGUCUGUGAUGGGCUCAAUUCUUCCUCCUGAUGCUGUAAAACAAUCUUGUUCCACUGGAUGGAUGGAGCCUCUUUUUUCAUCUGAAAGACACCCCACAUUUCUGAAGAUAGAUACACCUACAGUUUCAGCAGUGAAGUAGUACCACACUCUGAUCUGAUCUGUUUCCAAUUGUAAUAAAAGUUGGUUAUUUACUUAUCAGUUGAGUACAAGUAGUGGGGAUUGACUGGUUGUUUCCUUGUGCAAGGUUCACAGCAAAAAACUGGUGUUGAAUUCGCCGCCGGCUCCGAGACCUCGACCGGACGGACGGAACGCGGAUUGAAAUCGUUGCUAUGGCGCCGUAUAUUAUAUGCAGUCCCACGUUUUCCUCUUCCUUUAUUUAGGUGAUAUUGAUCUGAGCAGGAUUUGUUUUUAUCUCUGAAUUUGUAUGAUAUGUGAACCCCAAAACAUGCAUCGUCAGACAGGUGUAGGUUGAUUCCCCUCCAUUUUUCACAUCACAGACUAGACUAGGUGAUCAAUUUCUUUUUAAAUGCUAGGAAAAGGGGAGGUGUUCACCAUUCUAUAGAGAGCAGAAAGAUUGAUGGCUAGGGAAACUCAUGGAGAAAAGAAGACAAAGUUCUUCAGUUAACAUUGACUGACUGAAUAUCUACUGAUUUUUUCAGUUAACUCAUGGAGCAAAUCCUUACAGUACCUUCUUCCCGAUGAAUGUAGCUCUGGCGGCAGCACGGGCAGACGAGCAGCAGCAGUACGGGUAGACGAGCAGCAGCAGUACGGGUAGAUGAGCAGCAGCUGUACAGGCAAAGGAGCUCCACCGGCGGCAGGGGACAAGCAGUCGCACGGGCGCGCGGGCAGGGGAGAAGGAGCAGCACGAGCUUGCGCGGGAGAUUGAGGAAGACGCGCGGGAGAUCGAGGAUCACACGCGCGAGCUCCCGGUCCACUGGAUCGUGGAGGCAGGCUCCGGCGACGCCGGUAGGGGAUCGCGGCGGCGCACGCGUGGGAGCUCCAGCAGGAUGCGCGGGAGCACGAUGGAGGAUGCACGCGAGCUUGAGGAGGAUGCACGGGGGUUCCAGAAGGGACGCGCGCGGCAGGAGAUUCCGGCGAAACCCACAGGCGGCUGGAGGGGACCGUCGGCGCAGGUCUGGGCUGCGGCGGCAGAAGAGGUAAUUGGCAACGACGGCGAGAGCAUGUACUUGGCUACAGCGGAGGAGCUCAGCUGGGCUCGCCGGCCCUUGGCGAAUCACACAGCUGGGCGGCGCCGGCCCCUGGCGACGCGCAGGCGACGGGCGGAGGAAGAAGACGGGGCGGAGGGACUUGUUCGAAACGCUUUUCAAACCAUGAGGUUUUUUUUGUAAAAUAUCCAGUGAACUAUGCCCGCGACAUGUUUUCGGGACGGAGAGAGUAGUAUACAACAAUUUCAGUAUCUGCAAAUCCCACUAAAAACACUC